UUAACAUAUCCAUUGCCAAUAUGUAUAUCCUGGGGAUUGGCCCAGAGUCUCUACCAACUACCUUAAAGAGUUGACUACAUAUCUUAUGUAGCCAGCU
rnacentral:ncRNA from 2 species